GACGGAGGAUGCAAGUGUUAUCCGGAAUCACUGGGCGUAAAGCGUCUGUAGGUGGUUUAAUAAGUCAACUGUUAAAUCUUGAAGCUUAACUUCAAAAUCGCAGUCGAAACUGUUAAACUAGAGUAUAGUAGAGGUAAAGGGAAUUUCCAGUGGAGCGGUGAAAUGCGUAGAUAUUGGAAAGAACACCGAUGGCGAAGGCACUUUACUGGGCUAUCACUGACACUCAGAGACGAAAGCUAGGGUAGCAAAUGGG
rnacentral:rRNA from 1 species